rnacentral:rRNA from 1 species
UACGAAGGGGGCUAGCGUUGCUCGGAAUCACUGGGCGUAAAGGGUGCGUAGGCGGGUCUUUAAGUCAGGGGUGAAAUCCUGGAGCUCAACUCCAGAACUGCCUUCGGUACUGGCGAUCUUCGAGUCCGGGAGAGGUGAGUGGAACUCCGAGUGUAGAGGUGAAAUUCGUAGAUAUUCGGAAGAACACCAGUGGCGAAGGCGGCUCACUGGCCCGGUACUGACGCUGAGGUGCGAAAGCGUGGGGAGCAAACAGG